rnacentral:rRNA from 1 species
CAUAUCAAUAAGCGGAGGAAAAGAAACCAACAGGGAUUGCCUCAGUAACGGCGAGUGAAGCGGCAAGAGCUCAAAUUUGAAAUCUGGCGCCCCGCCGGCGUCCGAGUUGUAAUUUGGAGAGGCAUCUUCAGGAGGGGGCCCGGCCUAUGUUCCUUGGAACAGGGCGUCGCAGAGGGUGAGAAUCCCGUUCUUGGCCGGACAGCCCCUCCGGUGUGCAGUGUCUUCUACGAGUCGAGUUGUUUGGGAAUGCAGCUCAAAAUGGGUGGUAAAUUUCAUCUAAAGCUAAAUAUGGGCGAGAGACCGAUAGCGCACAAGUAGAGUGAUCGAAAGAUGAAAAGCACUUUGAAAAUAGAGUCAAACAGCACGUGAAAUUGUUGAAAGGGAAGCGCUUGAGACCAGACUCGGCCAUGGACUAACAGCUGUCCCUUCUGGGCGGUGCACUUGUCCUUGGCCGGGCCAGCAUCGGUUGGGACGGCGGGACAAAGGCUGGGGGAAUGUGACUCCCUUGAGGAGUGUUAUAGCCCCCGGCGCCAUGCCGCCCGCCCCGACCGAGGACCGCGCUCGGCUAGGA